AACAGAUUACAGGAAGAAGAAACUAAGGAGAAAGGAAGGAUGAGGAAGUACAGUAAAUGGUUAUGUGGGACAUAACCAGACAUAAGAAAGGUUAUUGGAGUGCAAUACAGAUAGACAACCUCUCUCUCUCUCUCUCUCUCUCUUUCUCUCUCCAUUGAUGGAUGGACAGAUCAUGUAUAUCCAAUCUAGCAGUGCUCUUGAUGCGGUUAGGGGCUGUGACAAGUCUCCGGGCGGGGGAACCGAGUGGAGCAGAGCGGAGGAACGGGGUGACGAAGAGGACACGACAUCUGGAGAACAUGCAGGAAAAAAAAGAUGCAGCAGAGAGAGAGACAGUCUCUGAGCCAUUGACCUCCGACCCCCAGGCAGGUUCACCAGCGGGUCAGGAGCCUGGCGGGGGGAGACGGGGAGAAAGGAGGGGUGGAAGGUCUGUUAUUGGGGGAUGCCAGCUUCCUCCUUUGGCCAUGGAUACAGCCUUCACUGCUGCUGCCAUAGCAACUGGACGAGACGGCAGAGAGAGCAGACUGCAGAGAGCUGCUGGGAUGGAGCUCUCUCUUCUGUGAUCUGGCUGUAACCUCCAUGGGCACUCGCACAUGUUCACACACACAGUCACACUCACAUGCACACAUAAUGACAAACUGGCACACACACACAAUCCCCAUACGUGCUUGCAAAAUCUAAUCAAAUUUCUUAUUUGGACUGCCAGGCUGUGCUGGAAAAUACUUUUUCAAGUUACAAGAUUGAUGGGCAUUACAUGUUGGCUGCAAUUAAUUGCUGCAUAAUUAGACUUACAAGUUAUUUAUUGAAGCAAUUUGGAGAAUACAAGAGCCUGGGGAUAUAUAAAAACCAUUUGAUCACAAGCCACAUACACUUAAAAAAUGUCCUCUUACAAGUAUUAUUUGGAUAGAAAUUAGCAAUACAAUCUCCCCCCAAAAUGUUUCCCAUGUUAAUAAAGUGAUAAAUGAUAAUAAAUCUGGACUAAAGUGAGUGAUGUGCUGGAAGCCUCACGAGGUCAAAUAAAGGUGAGAGCGAGCGAUACAGAUAUUAAAAAUAAUACGGGAGAUAGUGCUUUGAGUGUUUCGUGCACAUUUUUGCUGCAUGCAGGUGUGUGAAGCUCUGAACCAGCAUGCUUAGCUUGGAGAGCCUCAGGGGUUAGGCCUCAGUCCAGGUGGUGUCCCACUACAAACAGAGAUGUUGCUGAUUAACUAUCUCUCAUAUGAUCUAUCUAAUCACAAACUUUCUAUAUUUGUCUUUUGUGUUUUUGUUUUUCAGUUGCUUCUGCUGUCUUUUCUGUUCAUCUUUCUGCUGUUUGAUGUAUUCCACUUUAUUUAAGUUUUUCAUUUUUAUUCCUUUAAACAUUCAUUUCCUUUUCUUUAUCUGGCUUUUACGCUAAGCGCUCUCUUCGGUCUCUUCCUGUCUCAUUUUCGUCUUGCCUCACUCUUGUCUCUCAUUGCUCAAACAAAUAUGAUAAAUGAGGCUAACGGUGUCUCUCAAGAAUGAGCUGUGAGGGCCUUUGAUGUUUGACAGCUUUAAUGAUGUAUCUUGAUGAAUGGAUGUACAGUAAUUUUCACUUCAUGUGACACUGUUUUGCUAUUGUGCACACUUUUUUUGGUGCUGUUAAUGACUACUACUAUUGAACUGUGUGUGUUUUUUCUCCCAUUUUUCUUGACUUGUAUUCCUAUGCCUUGCAUGUUUGGUGACAAUGUCAGUGCACUUGAGCUAACAAGCUUAUCUCAAGUGUUUCAAGAGGCUCUUAUCAGCUCUCUUUGUAAUAACGGGAUCAACUACUUUUAGUGGAACAUACACAUUCGCUGGCUGUGAACACACUGCUCACACACACACCCAAAUCGGCAAGCAAGUUAUUGUAGCAUGAGA